AGAGUUUGAUCCUGGCUCAGAUUGAACGCUGGCGGCAUGCCUAACACAUGCAAGUCGAACGGCAGCACAGCAGAGCUUGCUCUGUGGGUGGCGAGUGGCGGACGGGUGAGUAAUGCAUCGGGACCUACCCAGACGUGGGGGAUAACCUCGGGAAACCGGGACUAAUACCGCAUACGUCCUACGGGAGAAAGCGGGGGAUCUUCGGACCUCGCGCGGUUGGACGGACCGAUGUGCGAUUAGCUAGUUGGUAGGGUAAAGGCCUACCAAGGCGACGAUCGCUAGCUGGUCUGAGAGGAUGAUCAGCCACACUGGAACUGAGACACGGUCCAGACUCCUACGGGAGGCAGCAGUGGGGAAUAUUGGACAAUGGGCGCAAGCCUGAUCCAGCAAUGCCGCGUGUGUGAAGAAGGCCUUCGGG
rnacentral:rRNA from 1 species